UACGUAGGGUGCGAGCGUUAAUCGGAAUUACUGGGCGUAAAGUGUGCGCAGGUGGUUUCUUAAGUCUGAUGUGAAAGCCCACGGCUCAACCGUGGAGGGUCAUUGGAAACUGGGGAACUUGAGUGCAGAAGAGGAAAGUGGAAUUCCAAGUGUAGCGGUGAAAUGCGUAGAUAUUGGGAGGAACACCAGUGGCGAAGGCGGCUCACUGGACCGGAACUGACGCUGAGGCGCGAAAGCGUGGGGAGCAAACAGG
rnacentral:rRNA from 1 species